rnacentral:rRNA from 1 species
CCUACGGGAGGCAGCAGUGGGGAAUCUUGCGCAAUGGGCAAAAGCCUGACGCAGCAACGCCGCGUGCGGGAUGAAGGCCUUCGGGUUGUAAACCGCUUUUAACAGGAACGAAAAUGACGGUACCUGUAGAAUAAGGUGCGGCCAACUACGUGCCAGCAGCCGCGGUGACACGUAGGCACCAAGCGUUGUCCGGAUUUAUUGGGCGUAAAGAGCUCGUAGGCGGUUCGAUAAGUCGGGUGUGAAAACUCUGGGCUUAACCCAGAGACGCCACUCGAUACUAUUGUGACUAGAGUUCGGUAGGGGAGCGGGGAAUUCCUAGUGUAGCGGUGAAAUGCGCAGAUAUUAGGAGGAACACCGGUGGCGAAGGCGCCGCUCUGGGCCGAAACUGACGCUGAGGAGCGAAAGCGUGGGUAGCAAACAGGAUUAGAUACCCUGGUAGUCCACGCCGUAAACGGUGGGCACUAGGUGUGGGCUCCAACCAACGGAGUCCGCGCCGUCGCUAACGCAUUAAGUGCCCCGCCUGGGGAGUACGGCCGCAAGGUUAAAACUCAAAGGAAUUGACGG